AUUGAACGCUGGCGGCAGGCCUAACACAUGCAAGUCGAGCGAGCGGCGGACGGGUGAGUAAUGUAUGGGGACUGCCCGAUAGAGGGGGAUAACUACUGGAAACGGUGGCUAAUACCGCAUACUAUCGGAUAACCCAUAUGGGAUUAGCUCGUAGGUGGGGUAAAGGAUCACCUAGGCAACGAUCUCUAGCUGGUCUGAGAGGAUGAUCAGGCACACUGGGACGGAGAGACGGCCCAGACUCCUACGGAGGCAGCAGAGGGGAAUAGUGCACAAGGGGAGCAAGCCUGAUGUAGCCCUGCCACGUGUAGGGAGAAGUCCUUAGGGUUGUAAAGUACUUUCAGCUGGGAGGAGUUACCCGCAGAAGAAGCACCGGCUAACUCCGUGCCAGCAGCCGCGGUAAUAC
rnacentral:rRNA from 1 species